UGCAGUCGGGCGGUAACACAGAGGAGCUUGCUCCUUGGGUGACGAGCGGCGGACGGGUGAGUAAAGUCUGGGGAUCUGCCUGAUGGAGGGGGAUAACUACUGGAAACGGUAGCUAAUACCGCAUGACGUCUUCGGACCAAAGUGGGGGACCUUCGGGCCUCACGCCAUGAGAUGAACCCAGAUGGGAUUAGCUGGUAGGUGAGGUAACGGCUCACCUAGGCGACGAUCCCUAGCUGGUCUGAGAGGAUGACCAGCCACACUGGAACUGAGACACGGUCCAGACUCCUACGGGAGGCAGCAGUGGGGAAUAUUGCACAAUGGGGGAAACCCUGAUGCAGCCAUGCCGCGUGUGUGAAGAAGGCCUUCGGGUUGUAAAGCACUUUCAGCGGGGAGGAAGGCAAUAAACUUAAUAAGUUUGUUGAUUGACGUUACCCGCAGAAGAAGCACCGGCUAACUCCGUGCCAGCAGCCGCGGUAAUACGGAGGGUGCAAGCGUUAAUCGGAAUGACUGGGCGUAAAGCGCACGCAGGCGGUCUGUUAAGUUGGAUGUGAAAUCCCCGGGCUCAACCCGGGAACAGCAUUCAAAACUGACAGGCUAGAGUCUCGUAGAGGGGGGUAGAAUUCCAGGUGUAGCGGUGAAAUGCGUAGAGAUCUGGAGGAAUACCGGUGGCGAAGGCGGCCCCCUGGACGAAGACUGACGCUCAGGUGCGAAAGCGUGGGGAGCAAACAGGAUUAGAUACCCUGGUAGUCCACGCCGUAAACGAUGUCGACUUGGAGGCUGUGGUCUUGAACCGUGGCUUCCGGAGCUAACGCGUUAAGUCGACCGCCUGGGGAGUACGGCCGCAAGGUUAAAACUCAAAUGAAUUGACGGGGGCCCGCACAAGCGGUGGAGCAUGUGGUUUAAUUCGAUGCAACGCGAAGAACCUUACCUACUCUUGACAUCCAGAGAAGACUGUAGAGAUACGGUUGUGCCUUCGGGAGCUCUGAGACAGGUGCUGCAUGGCUGUCGUCAGCUCGUGUUGUGAAAUGUUGGGUUAAGUCCCGCAACGAGCGCAACCCUUAUCCUUUGUUGCCAGCGAUACGGUCGGGAACUCAAAGGAGACUGCCGGUGAUAAACCGGAGGAAGGUGGGGAUGACGUCAAGUCAUCAUGGCCCUUACGAGUAGGGCUACACACGUGCUACAAUGGCGCAUACAAAGAGAAGCGAGCCUGCGAGGGUGAGCGGACCUCAUAAAGUGCGUCGUAGUCCGGAUUGGAGUCUGCAACUCGACUCCAUGAAGUCGGAAUCGCUAGUAAUCGUAGAUCAGAAUGCUACGGUGAAUACGUUCCCGGGCCUUGUACACACCGCCCGUCACACCAUGGGAGUGGGUUGCAAAAGAAGUAGGUAGCUUAACCUUAGGAGGGCGCUA
rnacentral:rRNA from 1 species